UGCUCCCGAGCUUCUGACCUUGCUGAAUCGGUUCUGCAGGGAUGAAAUCAGUGGCUGAAUGGACACGGUUUGACUGGAUUCGGUGGCCGCAGUGAUGGAACGACCAGGAACCGGGCUGAGUUGCAGCUGCGGGGCUUGCGGGACGUGAGGUCUCUCGGAGGAAUCCUUUUCGUCGCUGCUGGAGUUAACCAUGAGAAGAAGUUGCUGAUUUGCUGACCGAAUGAAAUACGUGGGUGAG
rnacentral:lncRNA from 1 species